GAGUUUGAUCAUGGCUCAGAACGAACGCUGGCGGCGUGCUUAACACAUGCAAGUCGAACGGGAUCCAGAGCUUGCUCUGGUGAGAGUGGCGCACGGGUGAGUAACGCGUGGAUAACCUGCCCUGGUAUCUGGAAUAACAUCUCGAAAGGGGUGCUAAUACCGGAUAAGCCUACGGAGCCCUCGGUCUCUGCAGGAAAAGGUGGCCUCUAUUUAUAAGCUACCGUAUCAGGAUGGGUCCGCGUACCAUUAGCUAGUUGGUAGGGUAAUGGCCUACCAAGGCUACGAUGGUUAGCUGGUCUGAGAGGAUGAUCAGCCACACUGGAACUGAGACACGGUCCAGACUCCUACGGGAGGCAGCAGUGGGGAAUUUUGGGCAAUGGGGGAAACCCUGACGCAGCAACGCAGCGUGAGUGAUGAAGGCUUUCGGGUCGUAAAGCUCUGUCAGAAGGGAAGAAAUGGGGCUGGCUAAUAUCCAGUUUCCUUGACGGUACCUUCAAAGGAAGCACCGGCUAACUCCGUGCCAGCAGCCGCGGUAAUACGGAGGGUGCAAGCGUUGUUCGGAUUUAUUGGGCGUAAAGCGCGUGUAGGCGGUUUCUUAAGUCUGAUGUGAAAGCCCUGGGCUCAACCCAGAAGUGCAUUGGAUACUGGGAGACUUGAAUACG
rnacentral:rRNA from 1 species